rnacentral:rRNA from 1 species
GGACUACUGGGGUAUCUAAUCCUGUUUGCUCCCCUAGCUUUCGUGCCUCAGUGUCAGGAGUCGUCCAGAGACUCGCCUUCGCCACUGGUGUUCCUCUCGAUAUCUACGCAUUUCACUGCUACACCGAGAAUUCCAGUCUCCCCUCCGACCCUCCAGCUGGGAAGUAUUCAAUGCCAUUUCGGAGUUAAGCUCCGAGCUUUCACAUCAAACUUUCCCAGCCACCUACGCACCCUUUACGCCCAGUGAAUCCGAACAACGCUUGGGACCUCUGUAUUACCGCGGCUGCUGGCAC